AUUGAACGCUGGCGGCAGGCUUAACACAUGCAAGUCGAACGAUGACUAACUAGCUUGCUAGUUAUGAUUAGUGGCGGACGGGUGAGUAACAUUUAGGAAUCUGCCUAGUAGUGGGGGAUAGCUCGGGGAAACUCGAAUUAAUACCGCAUACGACCUACGGGUGAAAGGGGGCGCAAGCUUUUGCUAUUAGAUGAGCCUAAAUCAGAUUAGCUAGUUGGUGGGGUAAAGGCCUACCAAGGCGACGAUCUGUAACUGGUCUGAGAGGAUGAUCAGUCACACCGGAACUGAGACACGGUCCGGACUCCUACGGGAGGCAGCAGUGGGGAAUAUUGGACAAUGGGGGCAACCCUGAUCCAGCCAUGCCGCGUGUGUGAAGAAGGCCUUUUGGUUGUAAAGCACUUUAAGCAGGGAGGAGAGGCUAAUGGUUAAUACCCAUUAGAUUAGACGUUACCUGCAGAAUAAGCACCGGCUAACUCUGUGCCAGCAGCCGCGGUAAUACAGAGGGUGCGAGCGUUAAUCGGAAUUACUGGGCGUAAAGCGAGUGUAGGUGGCUCAUUAAGUCACAUGUGAAAUCCCCGGGCUUAACCUGGGAACUGCAUGUGAUACUGGUGGUGCUAGAAUAUGUGAGAGGGAAGUAGAAUUCCAGGUGUAGCGGUGAAAUGCGUAGAGAUCUGGAGGAAUACCGAUGGCGAAGGCAGCUUCCUGGCAUAAUAUUGACACUGAGAUUCGAAAGCGUGGGUAGCAAACAGGAUUAGAUACCCUGGUAGUCCACGCCGUAAACGAUGUCUACUAGCCGUUGGGGUCCUUGAGACUUUAGUGGCGCAGUUAACGCGAUAAGUAGACCGCCUGGGGAGUACGGCCGCAAGGUUAAAACUCAAAUGAAUUGACGGGGGCCCGCACAAGCGGUGGAGCAUGUGGUUUAAUUCGAUGCAACGCGAAGAACCUUACCUGGUCUUGACAUAGUGAGAAUCCUGCAGAGAUGCGGGAGUGCCUUCGGGAAUUCACAUACAGGUGCUGCAUGGCUGUCGUCAGCUCGUGUCGUGAGAUGUUGGGUUAAGUCCCGCAACGAGCGCAACCCUUUUCCUUAUUUGCCAGCGGGUUAAGCCGGGAACUUUAAGGAUACUGCCAGUGACAAACUGGAGGAAGGCGGGGACGACGUCAAGUCAUCAUGGCCCUUACGACCAGGGCUACACACGUGCUACAAUGGUAGGUACAGAGGGUUGCUACACAGCGAUGUGAUGCUAAUCUCAAAAAGCCUAUCGUAGUCCGGAUUGGAGUCUGCAACUCGACUCCAUGAAGUCGGAAUCGCUAGUAAUCGCAGAUCAGAAUGCUGCGGUGAAUACGUUCCCGGGCCU
rnacentral:rRNA from 1 species